UCUCCGUUGGUGAACCAGCGGAGGGAUCAUUACAGGACUCGCAAGACUCCUUCACCCUGUGAACCUCACUACAAGCACGUUGCUUCGGCGGGUGUCCCGGCGGGGGUUUUCCCUCGCCGGGGCGCACAGCCCGCCGGCAGCCUACUAUACUCUGUCUCUUUGCGUUGGCAUCUCGAGAAAAAACAAACAAGUUAAAACUUUCAACAACGGAUCUCUUGGUUCUC
rnacentral:misc_RNA from 1 species